UACGGAGGGUGCAAGCGUUAAUCGGAAUUACUGGGCGUAAAGCGCGCGUAGGCGGCUGAUUAAGUCGGAUGUGAAAUCCCCGGGCUCAACCUGGGAACUGCAUACGAUACUGGUCGGCUAGAGUAUGAGAGAGGGAGGUAGAAUUCCACGUGUAGCGGUGAAAUGCGUAGAUAUGUGGAGGAACACCGAUGGCGAAGGCAAUCCCCUGGACCUGUACUGACGCUCAUGCACGAAAGCGUGGGGAGCAAACAGG
rnacentral:rRNA from 1 species